GUGAACAAAAUGGGUUGGCAUCCUGCAGAUGUGGCUGGAAGUUCAGUUGCUCUAAAUUAUAGUUUGGAAAAGUAUAUCAUACCAAGGUGCUUGGUUAUUAGAGCUCUCCUGUCGAAAGGCUUGGUAUCAAGGGGAGAAUUUUCUUUCGGCACCCUUGUCAGGAAACCAAAGCAGUACUUCUUGGAUAGGCUUGUAAUUAAAUAUCAAGAGCAAGUACCUGAAUUACUUAUCAUCUUUGAAUGGAAAUUGAGACUUGCGGAACUGGGCUUAGGAUUUGAGCAAAAAGAGGAUGGUGUGAAACAAUUGUAGGAAGAAGCUGCGAUGUUGUUUCUUCUUUGAUGAUUGAAGACUAACUGUAAGUCCUGCUGCCACAAAAUGUGAAAUCAUUCUCUACAUUGACAUUACAAUAGGCAUUUCUUUAUAUCAAUGGCUAUAUGAAGAAAUAUUUUUCAUAUCCAUAUGGAUGACUUCACCAAAUAUCAUGUAUUGAAGUGUUCUUGUUCUCUGAGAGACAUUCUUCUUACAAUUGAUGGGUCUGUAUCCAGUCUGACACUAUUAUUAGUUUAUGUAUAAUAACACUUUAUUUAAUUUUGUUUCUGCUAUGAUCAACUUAAAAUUUAGUUUCCGGAAGCCAGUGGGUUGGCGUGAUGUAGACGUGGCCAGACUUCCUAGUGCAACUGGUCUUUGCAUUCGAGGAAUGAGGUGUAUUGUAGUGAACAAUUUGGAAGACGAAACUCUGUUAGUCUUUUUCUUAAUUUGAUGACUAAAAGGAUCAUAAGAACUACUUAUCCAUUGAAAGCUCUACUGUAAAAUGUGAUUUUAAACGGCUACACACACAGAUUUGAUUGUGUUAAUUCCAUAUGCAUAGAAGUAUAUGCAUGAGUCGCUCAUGAGAUAGAAAUAUGCUGCCAUAGACACAUCAGAAAGAACCGCCCUACCCGGUGUUAAGAUACAUUCUGCCACACUUGAAUACAGCCUUAGUCAAGUGGCAAUGCUGUUCGUGAUGGUCUGAGGGCAGUUAAAAAUACAGUUGAAGAUGUAGCUGUUGCCCUAAUUGUGAGUUGUAUAUGUUGACGGAAUGCUGGAGCUAUUGGGGUUGCAGCCAGACAUUAUUUAGUAAACGAAGGUAAGAAAACUAUUCAAAGGAUAACUGAAUGUAUUUCCCAAAUUUCUUUGUUGGAAACACUUUUGACCACCUCUAUCUUUCUAAGCCUUUAUCUUUCUCAUAUUGACAUACUCAACUUGGUUUUGAAAGCUUUGGCUGAUGCUCUUCACCUAAGACACUUGAAGUGCCAGAGACCUCAAUCUCGUAUUGGGUGUCACAUCGUCCUUUUCUAGUAUCCCUUGAAUCUGACAAGUUUAAGGAAAAUGUCAAGAAGGUCACAAGUAUGGGUGUCCCCCCUUCCUCUGCCACAUUUAUGAGAGCGUUGUAUAUGUUUGCUCGGGUGAAUGAAUCAGAAAGGGUACAAAAGAUGGAACUUUAUAGGAAGUGGGGCUGGACUGAAGAUGAUUUCUUGUUGGUAUUUAGAAAGAAUCCUCAGAUUAUGGAAUUAGCAGAGAAGAAUUUUUCAAGUAAAAUGGAUUUCCUUGUGAACAAAGUGAGGUGGCAGCCUGCAGAUGUGGCUGGAAGUCCAAUUGUUCUAGUUUUUAGUUUGAGGAACUGCAUUAUACCUAGGUGUUCAGUUAUCAGAAUUCUCAUGUCGAAAGGUUUGAUAGUGAAGGGGGAAUUUUCUAUGGCUACCUUGCUGGGUACCGGAAAGGACUACUUCUUGGACAGGUUUGUAGUCAAAUAUCAAGAGCAAGUACCUGAAUUGCCUAGCAUCUUUAAAGUGCAAAUGGGACUUUCGGAACUGGGUUUAGGAUUUGAGCAAAAAGAGGUCGGGGUGAAACAGUUGUAGGGAGACCCGCUUCAUUUCAUGAUUGUAAGAGUGUAAGUCCUGCUGCCACAAAUUGUCAAAUCUUGCCCUACUUUGAACAUUACAAUAGGCAUUUCAGUUACUUCUUCUUUCUAUCUGGUAAAGAAAAAUGUACUUUUCGGGUGGCAUAUUAGGCAAAAUUGGCACUCCUUUGUGCUAGUUUUGUUUUAGAAUCGCUGGGACACAUUUUUAAUUUUUGUUCCUGCCAUGAUCAACUUAAAUUUUAUUUUCUGGUGGAAUUGGGUUUUGUAUUUUCUAUGGAUGUAUGAAGAACUGGCGUCGUCGCGUAGACGUUGCCAGAAUUCCAAGUGCAACUGGUUUUUGGGUUUGAGGAAGGCAGUGUAGAGUAGUGAACAAAUUUUAAGAUGAAGCUUGUUAAUUUUCUUCUCAAUUUGAUGACUAAGGGGAUCAGAAGAACUACUUACUCAGAAUAAUGACAAAACUCUUACCGAGUACCUGUUAUUUA